ensembl:lincRNA
CCACGGGCUGUUGUUACUUCUUCCCCUUGGAUAUGGAACUCCUUGAGGUCUCAAAUUCUACACACAUCACAAUCCCCCUCCCAUCUAUCAAUCAUCACAAGGCUUGAGACUGAAGUGCAGUUUGGAAAAUAUUCAUUCCCAGAGGAAUGUUCUGCAAUCUGGGAGGUACACCCACUCCUGCCCAUCUUUUGCUUCUGCAAUAUGGUCCUUGGAUACGUACACCAGAAAGUGAGAAUCAGAGAAGUUAAGUAAAUUGUCUUGAA